AGUGAACGCUGGCGGCAGGCCUAACACAUGCAAGUCGAACGGAAGCACAGUAAGAGUUCGCCCCUGAGGGUGGCGAGUGGCGGACGGGUGAGGCAUACAUCGGAUUCCUAUUUUUCGUGGGGGACAACGUAGGGCAACUUCUGCUAAUACCGGAUAUGAUGUACGGGAGAAAGCAGGGGUUCAACGCGCUCUGCCUGACUGAUUGAGCUGAAGUCGGAUUAGCUAGUUGGCGGGGUAAAGGCCCACCAAGGCAACGAUACGUAGCUGAUCUGAGAGGAUGAUCGGCCACACUAGAACUGAGACACGGUCCAGACUCCUACGGGAGGCAGCAGUGGGGAAUAUUGCGCAAUGGGCGCAAGCCUGAUCCAGCCAUACCGCGUGAGUGAUGAAGGCCUUCGGAUUGUAAAGCCCUUUUGUUAGGAAAGAAAAGCAGCAGAUUUAUACCCCGCUAUUCUGACGGUACCCAAAGAGUAAGCACCGGCUAACUUCGUG
rnacentral:rRNA from 1 species